UGGGGAAUAUUGGACAAUGGGCGAAAGCCUGAUCCAGCCAUGUCGCGUGUGUGAAGAAGGUCUUCGGAUUGUAAAGCACUUUAAGUUGGGAGGAAGGGCAUUAACCUAAUACGUUAGUGUUUUGACGUUACCGACAGAAUAAGCACCGGCUAACUCUGUGCCAGCAGCCGCGGUAAUACAGAGGGGGCAAGCGUUAAUCGGAAUUACUGGGCGUAAAGCGCGCGUAGGUGGUUUGUUAAGUUGGAUGUGAAAUCCCCGGGCUCAACCUGGGAACUGCAUUCAAAACUGACUGACUAGAGUAUGGUAGAGGGUGGUGGAAUUUCCUGUGUAGCGGUGAAAUGCGUAGAUAUAGGAAGGAACACCAGUGGCGAAGGCGACCACCUGGACUAAUACUGACACUGAGGUGCGAAAGCGUGGGGAGCAAACA
rnacentral:rRNA from 1 species